rnacentral:rRNA from 1 species
ACUCAAAUGAAUUGACGGGGGCUCACACAAGCGGUGGAGGAUGUGGCUUAAUUCGAGGCUACGCGAAGAACCUUAUCCUAGUCUUGACAUGCACGGAUUAACUCGGUGAAAGCCGAGCCAGGCCUUCGGGUACAACGUGCACAGGUGCUGCAUGGCUGUCGUCAGCUCGUGCUGUGAAGUGUCGGGUUAAGUCCCUUAACGAGCGAAACCCUUGUCGCUAGUUGCCAGCGGGUAAAGCCGGGGACUCUAGCGAGACCGCCGGCGUUAAGCCGGAGGAAGGUGGGGAUGACGUCAAGUCCUCAUGGCCUUUAUGACUAGGGCUGCACACGUCCUACAAUGGCCUGCACAAAGGGAUGCAAAAUCGCGAGAUCAAGCAAAUCCCAAAAAACAGGCCCCAGUUCGGAUUGCAGGCUGCAACUCGCCUGCAUGAAGCCGGAAUCGCUAGUAAUCGCGGGUCAGCAUACCGCGGUGAAUGUGUUCCUGAGCCUUGCACACACCGCCCGU